AUCCAUUCAAAUUCAAUCCAAUUCCAUCCACUACUCCUCUCCUUUCUCUCUAUGCUUAAAACCCUAGCCAUUUUUCACACACGCAAGUUUUUUCCAAGAUCUAGUUGACUAGUUUCAGUAACAAAACACCCGGCAAAGAUCAUGACGGUGGUGCCAUAAUCAACCGAACAGGAGCUGAUGAGCUCUCCAACUGACGGCAUAUCAAAUGUCCCCUUCUCAAACCACAGUGACAAUCUAUUGGUUUCUUCUUAGGAUAAGGUCACUUGAUUUUGUUUUCUAGAUUUUUCUUUUUUAGAUCUCAAUUGUCAAUUCUUUAGUGUUUUUUUUGGGAGAUUAGAUUCUAUUUUGAUGUGUUUGCUUGUUUGUUUACAGAGUGAUACGCUGUUCAAUUUUAAAGUUGUUCAAUUUAAAGAAUCAUCCCACAACUUUAAAGCAGUUCAAUUUCUUGUUGAUCUUGUCAUUUUCAAUUUUUCGGGCUUUGUGAGAUCCUUAUUAGAUGUUGACUAGUCGGAGAAUCUCAUCUCUUCUCUCUCGCUCACUUCAUUUGCUUCCUCGAAGAGGUACAUGGAUAAAAUUAUUGUAUAUGUGAAUAUUUAUUUGUGAUUAUUCUGAGAAAAUCUUGGUCUUUUUAUUUUGGGUAUUGAACAUGCUCUACUUAUCAAAAAUCCUAGAAGAAAUGAUCAUUGCAGCGUAAGAAGUGAACUUGAAAAUUUGAAACAAAGGAAGUUUGGUAAAUUCAUUUUGACGGUUCUUUGAAGUUGGAUUGGAGGGACAGGAUUAAUGACCACCCUAAAUUUGUGUCGAUUUCGGUCUGAUAUCAAAACUAGAUUAUUUUGAAAGUUCAUAAAUUUUAAGAGUGACAACUAAAGAUGCUUGUACUCACAAGAGUCAGUCAAACAGAUUAGAAGAGAGAGAACAAAAUACACUGCUAUAGUAGUUGCAUUUUAGUUGUUUUUAAUAGAUAAAUGUAAUAGUAGAAAUGUACCUACUCUGUUAACUAUGUUGCUCGCCUUUCCUCUCUAGCUUUGUUUGUUGGUUUUCUCAUUUCAUGAUUAUUUGGUGUUUAAUGGGAGUUUUUCCAAACUGUUAACUACAAGACACAUUUGGUGUUCCAUGAUAAAAAUAGCAAGCAUAGCAAUUUCUACACAGAAAGUUCGCUUGGCCCCUAGAAAUUAUAGAAAUGGAUACCCUAGCACUCUCCAUUAAGAAUUGAUACAAUAGUUUGAAAAUUAAUUUGGAUAGUUUCAGUAAUUUUUGCAGAGUCUUGAUGGUGAGACAAGGGCAUUUACAUUGAGAGGGCAAAGGCUAGUUAACUACCAUCUUAACUGAUAUAGGUUGUUCUCUUGUACGCAGGGGCGGACCCAGAGACUUCGGACUGUGGGGUCAAAAAUGAAAUUUUUUUCGAACAACGUAUCAUUAGCGAAAAUAAAUUCAUAUGCUACUACAAUUGUAGCCUAUGCGUUUUCAUACUUUGAAAACGUCGUAUAAUUACAUCGUUAUCAAUAUUGUCAUGUACAUCACUCUCAAUAUAUGUAACCAAACUAUCACUUAACUAUUGAUCUCCC
rnacentral:lncRNA from 1 species